UGGGGAAUAUUGCACAAUGGGCGAAAGCCUGAUGCAGCAACGCCGCGUGAGUGAUGAAGGCUCUUGGGUUGUAAAGCUCUUUCGGCUAGGAAGAAGGGUGAGCGGUUAAUACCCGUCUCAUUUGACGGUACUAGAAUAAGAAGCACUGGCUAAUUCCGUGCCAGCAGCCGCGGUAAUACGGAAGGUGCAAGCGUUGUUCGGAUUGACUGGGCGUAAAGAGCACGUAGGCUGGUUCGUGUGUCGGUUGUGAAAGCCCCGGGCUUAACCCGGGAACUGCAAUCGAAACUGCGGAUCUUGAAUGCGCGAGAGGUUGGUGGAAUUCCAGGUGUAGGAGUGAAAUCCGUAGAUAUCUGGAGGAACAUCGGAGGCGAAGGCGGCCAACUGGCGCUGCAUUGACGCUGAGGUGCGAAAGCGUGGGGAGCAAACAGG
rnacentral:rRNA from 1 species